rnacentral:rRNA from 1 species
AUUGAACGCUGGCGGCAUGCUUUACACAUGCAAGUCGAACGGCAGCACGGGUGCUUGCACCUGGUGGCGAGUGGCGGACGGGUGAGUAAUGCAUCGGAACGUGUCCUAAAGUGGGGGAUAACGCAUCGAAAGAUGUGCUAAUACCGCAUAUUCUCUGAGGAGGAAAGUAGGGGAUCGAAAGACCUUAUGCUUUUGGAGCGGCCGAUGUCUGAUUAGCUAGUUGGUAGGGUAAUGGCUUACCAAGGCGACGAUCAGUAGUUGGUCUGAGAGGACGACCAGCCACACUGGGACUGAGACACGGCCCAGACUCCUACGGGAGGCAGCAGCGGGGAAUAUUGCACAAUGGGGGAAACCCUGAUGCAGCCAUGCCGCGUGUGUGAAGAAGGCCUCGGUUGUAAGCACUUUCAGCGAGGAGGAAAGGUACGAGUAGCUAAUAAUCUGCUGGCUGUGACGUUACUCGCAGAAGAAGCACCGGCUAACU